GAUGAAGAACGCAGCGAAAUGCGAUAAGUAGUGUGAAUUGCAGAAUUCAGUGAAUCAUCGAAUCUUUGAACGCACAUUGCGCCCUUUGGUAUUCCAAAGGGCAUGCCUGUUCGAGCGUCAUUUGUACCCUCAAGCACGGCUUGUGUGUUGGGCCUCCGUCCUCCUCCCGGGGGACGGGCCCGAAAGGCAGCGGCGGCACCGCGUCCGGUCCUCGAGCGUAUGGGGCUUCGUCACCCGCUCUUGUAGGCCCGGCCGGCGCUUGCCGACACAUCAAUCUUUUUUCCAGGUUGACCUCGGAUCAGGUAGGGAUACCCGCUGAACUUAAGCAUAUCAAUAAGCGGAGGA
rnacentral:misc_RNA from 1 species